rnacentral:rRNA from 1 species
GGACGAACGCUGGCGGCGUGCUUAACACAUGCAAGUCGAACGGAAAGGCCCUGCUUUUGUGGGGUGCUCGAGUGGCGAACGGGUGAGUAACACGUGAGUAACCUGCCCUUGACUUUGGGAUAACUUCAGGAAACUGGGGCUAAUACCGGAUAGGAGCUCCUGCUGCAUGGUGGGGGUUGGAAAGUUUCGGCGGUUGGGGAUGGACUCGCGGCUUAUCAGCUUGUUGGUGGGGUAGUGGCUUACCAAGGCUUUGACGGGUAGCCGGCCUGAGAGGGUGACCGGCCACAUUGGGACUGAGAUACGGCCCAGCCUCCUACGGGAGGCAGCAGUGGGGAAUAUUGCACAAUGGGCGGAAGCCUGAUGCAGCAACGCCGCGUGCGGGAUGACGGCCUUCGGGUUGUAAACCGCUUUCGCCUGUGACGAAGCGUGAGUGACGGUAAUGGGUAAAGAAGCACCGGCUAACUACGUG